CCUUUCAAAACACUCAAGGACACUGUACAGAACAAAUAAGACAAGCAUAAAAACAGGAAAUGAACACAAUAAUAAAAUAAAGUUUAAGAGCAUGGAGUAGUUAUACAGAGUAGGCUAUCUUGAACAGGUGGGUUUUGAGUGUGGACUUAAAAAGGGGGAAAGAACUGAUAUUUCUGAGGUCAGGGGGUAAGGAAUUCCAGCGCAACUAAAAGCCCCGCCCCCCAUGGUAAUAAGACGAAAUGAAGGAACAGAAAGAAGAAGAGAAGAGGAGGAUGUUAGGAUGACUUGAUGUUUCUAGUGGUCUAGUGUACCAAAACAAGCUUGGUGAUUGGUCUUCCUUCACACUUUGUCUCAUGCACCACUGAGGACUACUACUACUACUAGAGAGAAGUAGGACGGCUGGCCCAACUCUUCUUCCUGUUGUAAACUGUCAUGGUUUAAUAUCAACAAAAAGCAAUGAAAAAUGGAAAAAUAAUGAACAUGAAUGUCAAUUUACCUUGGAAUGCCAGUCAGUUAUUAACUAAAAACAUUAUUUUAUUGGAGUCUCCAUUAUAAUCACAGUAAUGGACUACUGAUUACAUCACAAAACAAUCACUGGUGAUAUAUCACACUAUCUCUGUAAGUGAGGAAGAAAGCAUACCC
ensembl:lncRNA